UUUCGAAUCUGGCGGUCUUUCGGCCGUCCGAGUUGUAAUCUAGAGAAGCGUCUUCCGCGCUGGACCGUGUACAAGUCUCCUGGAAGGGAGCGUCGUAGAGGGUGAGAAUCCCGUCUUUGACACGGACUGCCAGUGCUAUGUGAUGCGCUCUCGACGAGUCGAGUUGUUUGGGAAUGCAGCUCUAAUCGGGUGGUAAAUUCCAUCUAAAGCUAAAUAUGGGCGAGAGACCGAUAGCGAACAAGUACCGCGAGGGAAAGAUGAAAAGAACUUUGGAAAGAGAGUUAAACAGUACGUGAAAUUGCUGAAAGGGAAACGCUUGACGUCAGUCACGUCGGCCAGGGAUCAACCUUGCUUCUCGCUGGGCGUACUUCCUGGUCGACGGGUCAGCAUCAGUUUCGAUCGUCGUACAAGGACCGAGGGAACGUGACACUCUUCGGAGUGUGUUAUAGCCUUUCGUCGCAUGCGGCGGUGGGGACUGAGGAACUCAGCACGGCUUCGCUCGUGCU
rnacentral:rRNA from 1 species